rnacentral:lncRNA from 1 species
CGUCUCAGGGUCCCUGGGUAGGUUGUGGAAGAUGUCUAGUAACUACCAUCCCUCCCUUUCGUUCAAUAUAAAAGAGGAGGAACUAAGAAGGGGUGAUGUUGAGGCCGGAGAGCAAUUUGGACUAUUUCCUGUUGUCCGGGGUUGUCGCAUGUUCGGGCAUUGCUGAUCCUCACCAUCAGGGCACACUCCGUAACCAUGAGACUCAGGCUUUGUGGCUAGCAGCCCGUAGUCCCGUAACAGUAAAUUAGUUGUUUGAUUAGAGAGUUUUUUGAGUUUGUUGUUGAAGAAAUGCCAGAGGAGAAGAAAUUGAUAAAAGAGGGUUCGAUGACAGCCAGGAGGGGCAAGAUUUGAACUGCCCUUUCAUCAUGUCUGGCAGCUAUUGCGUGCAACAGGAAUUGUGGGCUAAACCAUUGGAAAUCCCGAGCCAGGAGCAAUCCUGGUCCUCAAGUUGCUUCUGUCUGUCAUUCUGCCACAGCAAUGAGAAAAUCAGCAAUAACUGAAGCAGCAAGCCUUUGUUCUGCGGAAGCUCGUUUCACUUCUCGUAAAGAGCAAAACUGCCUCGGGACAGCGUCGGAGCACUGGAGAUCCCAUUUAACGUUGAUGGCAGCUCUUGUUCUUAUUUUUAAUUAAUUAUGUGUAUGGGUGUUUUGUUUGCAUGCAUAUCUGUGUACCUCAUGUGUGCCCAGAGAUGCCCAGAAGAGGGAGUCAGCAUCAAAGCCCCUGGCUAACAUGUCUCAGCAGUUAAAAAUAUAGCUGUUGCUUUUAAA